rnacentral:rRNA from 1 species
UACGUAGGGUGCAAGCGUUAUCCGGAAUUAUUGGGCGUAAAGAGCUCGUAGGCGGUUUGUCGCGUCUGCUGUGAAAACUCGAGGCUCAACCUCGAGACGCCGGUUGAAACCAUCUGGCUAGAGUCCGGAAGAGGAGAGUGGAAUUCCUGGUGUAGCGGUGAAAUGCGCAGAUAUCAGGAAGAACACCCGUGGCUAAGGCGGCUCUCUAGUACGGUACUGACGCUGAGACGCGAAAGCGUGGGGAGCGAACAGG